GGGGAAGUGGCGAAACUGGCAGACGCGCUUGACUUAAGAUCAAGUGAGGUAACCCCUCGUGUGGGUUCGAAUCCCACCUUCCCCACCA
rnacentral:tRNA from 1 species